rnacentral:lncRNA from 1 species
CACUUACCAAAACAUAUAAAAAAAUAUACUAUUACUAAUUAUUUACAAGUUUAACUAAUUUUAACUAAACUAAUCAAUUAAAUAAAAAAUAUGCAUUAGUAUAUACCUUCAUUCUCACUUUAACACGUUUCACAGCAUAUAAUAUUUAAUAACUUAACAUUGCAAUCCUAGACAAUAAUGACAGGCUAAUUCACAUGCUAAUUCAGAAUUCAAUCAUGACAUCCUUACCUUAAGUUCAUAUUAUAUUGUUUGUUCAAUCUGCGUAGCAAUAUUACCUUCAUCAGUUGUCCUAAUAUAUAUUACCUUCAUCAGUUGUCCUAAUUUUAGAAUUUAAAAAUAAUUUCAAAUAAUACUAAUUUACCCUACGCACAUUACAUCCUUAUAUUUAACUUUCUAAAUUAGUACUUAAGCAACAUCACCAAGUCUUGGAAAGUCUAUAAUUCAUUCUCUCAAGUGCCAAGAGAAUUCUUCAAAGUGUCAAAUCCAAAUCUCAACAGAGUCACCAAACUCAUUCAGUCCCCUGCCAUUUCGAAUAGCUAUCCUCAUCUUGAGAGUAAAUAAAAAUAAAAUGUUCCAAAAAAAGUCACAACCCUACAGUAAGUCACACCAGUUAAUAAAAUUUAAAACAAAAAUGGACAAAAAAAAAAAAGGAGAGGAUGGGAAAGGGGUAGUAGCAGUGGAUCCGUAAUUACCUGUCUCAAAAGCACUUAGCAUUACUUUCUUUCUUAUAUAUCAAAUAACAAUCAGAGCAAAAUCCAUUUAGAAGAGUAUGAAGUUGUCAGAAAAUUGAAGUAAAAUGACAACCACCGGUAUAAAACUAUUAAACAGGGAAUCAAAUUCAACAAAUUGGGCGAGAGGUGUGGUUAGGGAUUGAACGGGACAAAAUGUUCAACAAAAACUUCAAACCACAUUAAACUUUAUUACGAAAAACAACCAAAUAACACUACAACCCCUAAAUGCCCUAAAAAAUUUUAAAAAAAUAAAACCCACCGAACAAAAACUAUUCAUUACCGAAACGAACGGCGGCAACCUUGAAAAACAACCUCCAAUAGCUGUUUUUGAGUUUGUUUGCUCCUAAUGGUGAACGACGGUGCCUAUGCAGAUUCGGUCAACGGCGAUCCUCCGGCCAACAGCAAACUCCUUCAACGGCGACGAAACUUGUGGGUGAAGCCGCUUCUGGGUGAGUGCGACGGAGGACGAAAAUGCUUCUGGGUGAGAGGGUUCGCGAUGGGUGAAAGGGCUUCCUUUUACUUUUUUUUUUCAAAACCACCGAAUGAGACCUAUGAAACCAAAAACCAUCGCCUGUAUUCUAUUUUCACCUUAUUUUCUUUUUUUAAAAAACAAUUCACCUUGUCGAAUGACAGCGUGACACGUGUCUGAUGUAAAAGUUUAUUAUUUUUAGAUGUGAAAAUAUUAUUAUUCAAAUAGAAAUGUAUCACACUUUAUUUUCAAUAGGUUUAAUAUAAAUUAAAAAAAC